UACGGAGGAUCCAAGCGUUAUCCGGAUUUAUUGGGUUUAAAGGGUGCGUAGGCGGCUUAUUAAGUCAGGGGUGAAAGACGGUGGCUCAACCAUCGCAGUGCCCUUGAUACUGAUGAGCUUGAAUACACUAGAGGUAGGCGGAAUGUGACAAGUAGCGGUGAAAUGCAUAGAUAUGUCACAGAACACCGAUUGCGAAGG
rnacentral:rRNA from 1 species